CUGUAGAAACCUAGACCAUCUUGACCCAGUAAAUGCCACAUAACAGCUUUAUCCAGAAAGGGCAUGGAAAAUCUUGGUUGAUGGGGUUAUAGAACAAUUUAACUUCUUGUCAAGUCAUAAACAUGUGGCCAGUCAUUUUGGCAGACGCUGCAUUGUAUAUGUGUGUGCUGUGUAUGCAUUGGCAGAAUGGAAAGGUUUUGAAAGAGAAAUGAAUUAUGAAGAAUGAAUAAAGAACCACCCUGCUUUCUGACAAAAUCCAGCCUCUUUUAUUACAGUUACCUAAUUUAUUGGCCUGUAUGUUUAAUGGAACAAGACCAACUUAAGCAGUUGAAUUACUUUCUGCAGUUCAAAC